ACUUUUGUUUCAAUGAACCAUAUUUUGUUAGAGGACUUUGCUUCUCAUGGUGUUGUUUUUAUUCAGUUGGGGUUUGGUGGUUUUACUGUAGCAACUUGUUUUAUGGUUUGAGUUCUGCCUUUGAUUACAUAAUCUCUGAACUAUUUUAUCAUUGCUCACUUCCCGUUUAUCUGUCAUUUUAAAAUGAAGAAUAAGAGAGUAUAGUGAUGAGAGACGCAGGCAGUGAAAAUGGAGAGUAAUAUAAUUUACAAUUGUUACAUAAAGUGACAACCCAUGUCCCCAGAAGGGAAGACCUUUCUUUUUUUCAGAGUGGCCCUCCGAGGCUAGACUAUGGAGAAGUCCCAAUCUUGCAGCUAAUAAGUUAGAAAGACUGUUCUAGGGUUGAUAGGUGCAGCAAACCACCAUAGCCCAUGUAUACCUAUGUAACAAACCUGCACAUUCAGCACAUUUAUCCCAGAACUUAAAGUAAAAAACAAAACAAAACAAAACAAAAACAGAAAAAAAAUGAAAAAAAAAAUAAAAAAAAGACCAUUCUAAAUCCCAAAGUAUCUUUCUGAUAAAUCAGGGGGCCCAGAAGCUAGGUUCCCCUGGCAGAGGGCAGUAAACUCUUCCUAAAUAUAGUUCAAGAAAAUUUCUGGAUAAUUAUGUUUUCUAACUUCUAGAACAAUUCAGAGACUCUGUCACAGGAGCUUUGUUGAGUAUCACUAGUGCACAGUCCAAGCCAAAAGCAAAGCUCCCAACUAGAACACAGAAACUUGGAUGCCAAAAAUAAGUGAUGUUUAUGGCAGAGUCAUUCAUGGAUUUGAGGGAGCGGGAAUAGGCGAGAAAGAGG
rnacentral:lncRNA from 1 species